ACAGGGUUAAAUUCCAAGUCACAGUGGAUCCAGAGUGAAUGGAAAAUGACCAUUAGAUGGGAAGAAGUCUGCAGGAGUCAUAUUGUUUAGGUCACAGCUGUUGUAUGUGGAGAUCUACCUCCGAAACAAACAAGGCCUUGGCUUCAUCUUUGGUUCAGGCUUUUCCCUGCUUGAAAGACACAUCAGGCAGUGGUUGCAUGAGUACUUUUUGAAAAACUUUAUAGAGGAAUUGAUGCAAACUAAAAAUGUUUAGAAUGUUCUGAAGAUGAUGGAAAUGUGUUUGUUAAAUGCAAUUAAUUGUCUUUUAUAGUCCUUGUCAAAUUUUCUUACAUUUUGCUUAAAGUAGAAAAUGGGAAAGGAAAAAGAGAUCUGCCCAGUCUCUAUUCACAUACGAUUUCACUUCUUGCCAGGAUAUAUGGUAUACCCAAGGCCGGAACCACCAUCCAGCCACUGGAUUUCUUGAAGAGAGGCUUAGGAACAUUAGAAAGAAGCUGAGAUCUGUGAGCAGGCCGCAAAGGCAAGAAGAUGGUGAGCCUGAAAGGGCAUACAUACCAGAAUCUACUAUUUCCGAAGAGAGAGCCGAACAACUAAAAGAAUGGCUGAGACACAAUUCUCAGCCCCUCAGCCAGGUGUCGGCAUACAUGUUUUCCAUCCAUUUUAGAUUGCACAGGACUUUCUUGCUUUGCAUGGAGAAGCUGCACCAAAACUUUUUGAAACAUGGCUGCCUAUAUAUGCAGACAAGAUCCCACACCUGUUGAGACGGGAAAAGAAACUGCAAUUUCCUGUACAAGAAAUGACACUGGAUGCCAAGGGGGAACUUGAACUGAAACUGCUACCCGAGUUGCUUCCACCUACGGUUUACAAAGUUGGCCGAAAAGUUUUCCGGCACAGCAUUGAGUGAUUGAGAUAAGACUUAAGACUUAACAUGGUAUUCCUGGGCUUCAAAAUAGUCCAGUAAAUACAUCAUGAUCAUACAUCAUCAGUAAAUAAAAAAUUGUUUGAGGUCAUGCAUAGAACAGUGGGAGUAGCUAUUCCUCACUGUUUACAUGUCAGCUUGACCAUUUUUCAUGUUGUUAGCAUUAAAUCCCAUCAAUUUAUCAAGAAUAAGGCAUGAAAGUGAAAUUUAAUAACAAUAUACAGUAUAUCUUGGAGAGAUAGACUCCAGAAAGACUCAACAAGGUGCUUUGUUAAAAUGUGAUUUUUAUGUAGUGGCAUUGUCCAGAUAAUAAUGUCUAAUUAUGUCCUGUCUGUUAAUUUGUUUUAUGUCUGCCUGCAUUGUGAUCAGAUCUCAUUUAAGUAGGACCAAUGGCACCUGAUGUCAAAAGCAAUUGUAAUCUAUUGUGGAAGGAUAAAUUCCCACAAAUGUGAGUUGACUGUUCACGUUGCAUUUACACAUGGCUGUAGUGCCAGUGACAGUCAGUCAGCGCGAGCCCACGACCAGACCACCUUCACAUGUCGUGAUGUCCAUAGAUCCAUGGACAUUGUACUGUGUGCUUGCUCCUCCAAGCCAUAAUCUGCGCCUGGAUUUACACUCAUAAAUUGGUGCAGAUAAUUAAAUUCCAAACAGGGGCUGCAGGUUUGGUUAUGAAUGUGAUGGCCUUUUUAUAGUUUGUGAAAAACUGCUGUUCCUGAUGGUGAGAGAGUGUGAUUAUAGUGCUGUAUGGCACUGAUGGUAUACUGCUGGUUAUUUGUCAACAACAAGCACAUUUUUAGCCUUAUAAGAAAUGGGAAAGUAAAAUGUUGCCAUAAUGACAGAGUGAUUCUCUAACUUGAUUUCACUUGGGUUUCUUUUUUAUUCAGUAUCAAUACUAUUACACACUAAAUUGAUAGUCUUAUUCAGUUUAAUCUUUGCUUUUCAACAAAAUUUUUACUUUAUUUCAUUUCUUUCUUUCUAAGGUUGGAACCAACAUGGUGGAAUACCUCCAGCAGGCUGAAGUGUCAAGGCCGUACCCCUACAUCCUGACGUUGGGAGAUAAUGACCAGCGCUGCUCUCAGGCAUUCGUCAUUCUGGUGGGACAGGCUCUGGAGCAAAGCACACUACUUGGGGCAGUUGAUGUGUGCUUCAAGGCAUUUUAUAUUUUUGACAUUAACUAUCCAAAGCAGUGUGCUCCUGUAUGGGAAUUUAUCCAGAAAGUGGUCUAUGAACUGGGAGGAAGUGAGUCCACACCUGUGAAAUUUAUACAUUCAGCAAUACUUACUUGCAAGUAGAGACUAGAAAACUUGAUCCUUUAAUUCUGCUGCCCAUUGGUUCAGAAUAGUUCCAUGUAUCUUAUCUAUGGUUCUACCCACUAAACAGUUUGUUUAGUUGGUAACUGUUUAUUGUAUUUAUGUGUAGUGUUUCUGUGAAAUAUAGACGCCUACUUGAAAGUAACAGGCAAUGUUUGUAAGUAUGUUACAAUGAGAGCAGGGCUGGAUAGUUUUGUACUGCAGAGAAGCUAUCUGAAGUCACAGAGAUCCUGCUCUGUAGCAGCUGCC